AAGUCGUAACAAGGUCUCCGUUGGUGAACCAGCGGAGGGAUCAUUACAGAGUUGCAAAACUCCCAACCAUUGUGAACCUACCUCACCGUUGCUUCGGCGGGUGGCCCGGGGCAACCCAGGCCGCGCCGGCUCCUGUUCAGGGGCCUGGCAAACCCGUCAGAGGACCGAAACUCUUCGUCAUCAGUGGCCUCUCUGAGUAACUUAUACAAUAAGUCAAAACUUUCAACAACGGAUCUCUUGGUUCUG
rnacentral:misc_RNA from 1 species